UUAAAGUUGAGUUUGGUGAUGGCUCUGAAUGAACGCUGUCCAAAUGCUUGACACAUGCUAAUCGUACGUAAUCAUAUUGUUCGACUUUGUCGAAGAUGAAGAUGAAGUGGUGUACAGGUGAGUAAAGGAUAUUAUAAUCUACCUUAAAGUAAGGAGCAAAAUACCUUAUAUUAGUAAAGAAAUAAUUAAUAUUUCGCUUUAAGAAGUUAGUAUCUCGGAUAGUAGUAGUUAAGGUAAUUGCUUAACUAGCUUAAUAUCCGUAGUCGAGACUGAGAGGUUGAUCGACCACAGUGGGGCUGAAUAAAUCCCAAUAUGUUUAGUACAGCAGUGAGGAAUAUUGGUCAAUAGCCUAACGGCUGAACCAGCAACUUGGAGGAAUGUAUAGCGAAAGCUAAUUGUAUUAGCAGGCAAUGUUUAAUACAAUAUCGACUCUGUCGACUAAAAUUCUAGGUAGAGUAAUGAUAAUGACAUUUUUUACCUAUGUGUCUUGACCAAGUCACGUGCCAGCAGUCGCGGUAACACGUGGAAGACUAGUGUUAUUCAUCUUUAAUAGGUUUAAAGGGUACCCAGACGGUAUAUUUAGCCCGAAAAAGGUACUAAAUAAACUAGAGUUUAAUGUGAGGGGGUCCAAUAGUACUAACGGUGUAGAGAUGAAAUUCUGUCAUACCGAUAGGAGACUGGUAGCGGCGAAAGCAACCUUUUAUGCAAAAACUGACGUUGAAGGACGAAGGCUAGUGUAACCAAAAGGAUUAGGUACCCCAGCAGUGCUAGCAGAAAACGCUGAAUGCCAUAGAUUAGAUUAUAUUUCUUCUAUAAAUGAAAGUGUAAGCAUUCCACCUCAAGAGUAAUUUGGCAACAUUGGAAUUGAAAUCACUAGACCGUUUCUGAAACCAGUAGUGAAGUAUGUUGUAUAACUAGACAGUCCUCAAAAAACCUUACCACAAUUUGAAUAUUUUUAUUUUUAUAAUUAUACAAGCGCUGCACGGUUGUCUUCAGUUAAUGUCGUGAGAUUCUGGUUAAUUCCAUUAAAUUAACGUAAACCCUUACUUUAUUUUUAUAUAAAGUAGUUCGCCACUAUAUUGGAUAUGAUAAGAGGGACUAAGGCAAGUCAUCAUGGCCUUAAUAUUGUGGGCUACAGACGUGCCACAUAAGCCUAUACAAAGGGGUGCGAAAUUGCGAAAUUGAGCUAAUCCCCUAAAAAGGGAUAUAAUAUGGAUUGUAGUCUGUAAUUCGACUACAUGAAAAAGGAAUUACUAGUAAUCGUGUAUAAGUACGUCACGGUGAAUUUAAUCUCAGGUAGGUACUAACCACUCGUCGCGCGCUGAAAGGGGUUUGUGCAAUAAGUUUGGUCAAUGUUCUCUUAUAUUCUGGGCGAUUAGGUCCAGAUAUGUUUACUAACGAUCUUCGUAUGCGUGUCCCUGAUUAGUGUUAAGUCGAAAUACGGUUCGUGUAGCGGAAGUUGCACGGGAAUCAUUAAUAUU
rnacentral:rRNA from 1 species